CAAACAUUUUACUCAUGAUACCAUACAUAUAAAAAAGAGGGCUUUCAUUGCAUUCUUUGAAAAUGAAUAUUGUUGGGUUCUUCGAUUUUUUUCAUCAUCUCUCGAUAUUACAAACCCAAACACAAAACUAUUUUGGGUGUAAGAAUGAAUAUAAUUAAUAAUCACGCAGGCCCCUUUUCUUCUCCAUUAUCGUUCGAGGGCUCUUUUCCUUUGCGGAAUGUCACGUUCAACGAAAUCUCGACGUUUCGUUUCUCGACAAUUCGAGCUAGAUGUUCGAACAUGCAUGGCAAAUUGUCGACUUCCUCAUUGGCAGUAGGAUUCAUCACUUCCUCAUUAAUGACACUCGACUCUCUACUUGAUUCUUCUGUUCUUACACAGUCAAAAAAUCCGCAAGAGCUAUUGCAAGUUCUGAAUAGUCUACCUUUGUUACUGCUUUCCUUUUCAACCGCGGAACAUUUUUGAAUUCCAACUGCACACCGUGAACAAUGAACUUUCCUCUUGCAAUCUUUGAAGUAGUGCUCUGUGCUUCUACAACUGUGACAAACACCAUAAUUCCUCCCUCUCAUCCCUACGUGGCAAACAAUAUUUAGAGGAUUUCAUUACAAAUUAAAAUGAAAUAUAGAUCCGGAAAAAAUAGCUCAAUUAAAACUUAAGCAACAUUCUAUACCACCAUAGGAAUCCAACAAAUAAAUUCUACUAUAAAAUGUAGAAUUCAAAUAACAUUCUAGCAACUGUCUCAUGCUGCACUUACAGGUAUAACUGAAAAUCAUCAAAGAGAAAUGGUAUACUAUCAUCACAAGAAAAAACAGACCAUAUAAAUCACAAUUUAAAUGUGCUCUCAUUUCACUUCUCU
rnacentral:lncRNA from 1 species